rnacentral:misc_RNA from 1 species
GAGUGUUUCCCGUUUUGCAGAUCUCCCCGUUCUUCUUCGACAGCCUCCCUCCCUCCCUCCCUCCCUCCUCUCCGCAUCCGUGAGCCUGCGGCCCAGUUUGCCUUUACUUUUUGCUUCAUUAUUAGUGCACCUCGUUUCUGUGUGCGGCCGCCUCCAACGCCUCGCCAUCACGAAUCCGCCACACCCUCCACUCCCCCCCCCUCCUCUGGAGUACGCGUGACAGUGUGCUUGUCUGCAGUCACGUUGUGCCUUGAGCCACACACACACACACACGCACGCACGCACGCAUCGCCUCUUAUCCAUCCCACACGAACGCACGCGCUCGUCUUCCCUCUCACCAGCUCCGUCUGUCAGUUACCCGCCUCACCCUAAAGCAACCACUGCGCCAUACAUCGACAGGCUGUGCCACCACCACCACCACCCUGCUCGCCCUUCUAAUCUGUUUCUCUCCCUUUCUACCGUCUUCGUCGGCCAAGGCGUUUACAUACACCAUCUGCACGUUCGUGUCCCGGAGACACUCGCCACAGCAGUGAGCGGCAGCAGACUGCAGCGACUCGUCGUUGUACGCCUCCCCUCCCUUCCCUUCCUUAUCCACCCACCCCCUCUUCUCUCUCUCUCUCGACAGCCACUGUGAGUCAUGCUCACAACGCGUAUCAUUAAAGAGACGGAGAAGCUCCAGAAGGAGUGUCCGCCGGGCAUCACGGCCACACCAACCAAGGAGAACCCGCGCUACUUUAUGGUGACCAUCCAGGGGCCGCCGCAGUCGUGCUACGAGGGCGGCCUCUUCCGCCUGGAGCUGUUCCUGCCCGAGGAGUACCCGAUGAAGCCGCCGAAGGUGCGCUUUCUCACGCGCAUCUACCACCCCAACGUAGACAAGGUGGGUCGCAUCUGUCUCGACAUCAUCAAGGACAAGUGGUCGCCGGCGCUGCUUAUCAACAAGGUGCUGCUAUCUAUCCAGAUCCUCAUGUCGAGCCCAAACCCAGAUGAUCCUCUGGCGAACGACGUCGCGGAGCACUGGAAGGAAGACGAGGCCAGCGCGCUGCAGACGGCCCGCGAGUGGACGCGCAAGUACGCCAAGCCGUGAAGUGAUUGCAAUGUGGCCCUGGGUAUGUGUGUGUGCGCGCGUAUGUGGGCAGGAAGAGGAGGGAGACCAGACGCCCGACCGGGCACAUCUUCUCCUGGCCUGUGCUUUAUACACGCACGUGAAUGGCGGAGUUCCUUUCUGUUGCUUCUUAUGUUGGUUUCUUUGGAUGUUGUCACCGGUGUGUGUCGUUCCGAAGGUGGUCCUGGAGAUGAACCGCAACAUCGCCCACGACCCCACCACCACCACCACCACCACCACCACCCACACACACACCACACCAUGCCCCUGCCCAGCCCCCCCCCCUCCUCUUCUCCUCCCAACACCCAUUUUCGUUUUCCAUAUGUGUACCUUUCGAGUUUUGUGCAUGCGAGCACGUGAGGGAAAGGGGAGGGGAGGGGGGUUGCGCCGUGCGGCGUGUCCUGUGUACCGUGAGCGGCACGCUCGAGUCUGACAGGGGAGGGGGGGGUGACACACGGGCACUCCCCCUCCCUCCCCACUCCCUUUCCUCAUGGGUGUGUCGCGACGUCGACAGUGGUGGCGCUGAAUAGGGCCGGUUAUAGGAAGGACGCGAAGCAAGCAAACACGCAGCCCUGUGGGCGCAGCUGCGUGGGCGAGGGAGGGGGAGCGCGCGACACAUACCCAUGAGGCCGGCAAGAUGCAAGAGGCAGACGGCGCGCGCCGAGGAAGAGGGGUAGCUGUGCAGAUGAUGGAGGGAUAAGGGGACUGGGACGAGCUGCUGGGUGCCUUCAAGAGGUCCCAGAUGCGCGUCCCAGCGUCCUCUGCGCACAUCGCCUUCACGGACACGCGCAAGCACGGUUGGCGCAGAGCAAAUCUCCUCGUCCAUUUCCCCUCAUGUGGCGCUCUGCAUGUCUUUGGUCUCUCUUCCCCCUCCCCGCCCCGAGUAUUUCGCCGUCUGGUGAGCUAUGUGGGACGAGUCGGCCUCGGCGUGCGUGUGCACGCACCUGCGUUCACCACCCCUCCUUCCAUGGCCGCGUACAGAAGGGUGCGCAGCACGUGUGUCUGUGCUCUCCUCACCUCCGUGACCCUCCAGCGCGCUUUUCUCCCCACCUCUUUCCUCUCCUUAUCGUCAUUAUCUCCUGCGCUGCUCCCGACGCGCGAUGGACCAUUCGCUCUUGCGUUUUUGUUCACGGGCGGCCUCGCCGAGUCGAAACAG